rnacentral:lncRNA from 1 species
GAGGAGCUGCACAGUAAAGGUCCCCAAAUACACACCACCACGAGUGCAAAAACCCAGGCGGUUCUCCCAACGUGAUGUUUUUUUCCCAUCGAAUCUCCGACAAGAAGGUCUCUGCAGAUUUCUGUACUCUUACGUGCAGUAAAUAUUCGUAGACGUAUGAAGCUAACUUUUCCCAAGCCUGCCCAUCCGAGGGCACCGCCGAGCCUCUGCCUUUGGCAAACAUGGUUUGCAGGGAAGAGGGCGCCGAGCCUCGCCGCCGCCGCCGCUACCGCUCCGGCUCUCCCGCGCUGCUCCUCGCUCCCGGCCCCCUCCCCGGCGCUCGCUCGCUCUCUCGCUCGCUGGCGCUCUCCUCGCCGCGCUCCCCUCCCUCCCCACCAGGCGCUGGCUCCGCGCUCUUUCCAGCUGUCAAAGCGUCAGCCCGGGCCGCGGCCCCAUCGCCCUGGAACUCCUUCGGCGCCGGCUCGGCCUGGGGGUGCCGCCGCCGCCCGCACGGCCGCCCGCUCUCCGC